rnacentral:rRNA from 1 species
GAGGGAAAAGCCCAAAUUUGUAAUCUGGCUCUUUUAUAAGGGUCCGAGUUGUAAUUUUGAGAACUGUUUUCCGUGCUGGACCAUGUACAAGUCUGUUGAAAAACAGCAUCAUUGAGGGUGAUAAUCCCGUACAUGAUAUGGACUACCAGGGCAAUGUGAUACAGUCUCUAAGAGUCGAGUUGUUUGGGAAUGCAGCUCAAAGUGGGUGGUAAAUUCCAUCUAAGGCUAAAUAUAGGUGAGAGACCGAUAGCAAACAAGUACCGUGAGGGAAAGAUGAAAAGAACUUUGGAAAGAGAGUUAACAGUACGUGAAAUUGUUAAAAGGGAAACAUUUGAAGUUAGACUUGUUAUUGUUGGUUCAGCUCUUUUUAUAAGGGUGUAUUCCAAUGGUUAACAGACCAGCAUCAAUUUUUGGGUGUUAGAUAAGGGUCUUGAGAAUGUAGCAACCUCGGUUGUGUUAUAGAUCUUGACUUGAUAUAAUGCUUAGGAUUGAGGAACGCAGUGAGCUUCUUUUGAAGUGGAUCCUCUUGGGGAUCUUCUCACUACGGAUGUU